AUCAAAGUGGUUUCUUUCCGGUCUCCAGCACUGAUGGUAUAUGUAAGGGUCAUCCUAACUCAGCCACUUAUUCAUUUAGCGUAACAUCAACAUGGAGCCCAACCCAAAGCACAGGGUUUAAGGAACCCUUUGGCAAGGUGUGCGGGCUCUCUGUCAUCCAAUGAGCCUCCCUCAUUUCAGAAGCUGGAUGCAUGAAAGAAAGACACGGCAUGCGACAGAAGACAUGAAGAGCACGGGAGUGACAGAGAUAUCAAGCAAGCGUCAGCGGAACGUACAACUCAUGGUCACGUGAUUCUCAGCUGCAAAGAGUUAUUUAUCCAAUCAAUCUUCUGACCACUUAUCCUGGGCAGCAUCACGGAGGGGGGCGGAGCCUACCCCGGGCGGGACAGACCACGAGGGUGGGGGCAGUCUGGACGGAACGCCAAUCCAUCACAGGCCAGUC